rnacentral:misc_RNA from 1 species
AAGUCGUAACAAGGUCUCCGUAGGUGAACCUGCGGAGGGAUCAUUACUGGUUUGGCAAUUUGUAUCCACGAUGUGCUCUGUGUCUACGGCAAUGUCAAUAAGACCGUGGUAAAUUUUAAUGGCUGAAUCAAGAUUUUGAAAAAUAAAACUUUUAGCAAUGGAUCUCUUGGCUUUG